ACGGGAGGCAGCAGUGGGGAAUAUUGGACAAUGGGGGAAACCCUGAUCCAGCGACGCCGCGUGAGUGAAGAAGUAUUUCGGUAUGUAAAGCUCUAUCAGCAGGGAAGAUAAUGACGGUACCUGACUAAGAAGCCCCGGCUAACUACGUGCCAGCAGCCGCGGUAAUACGUAGGGGGCAAGCGUUAUCCGGAUUUACUGGGUGUAAAGGGAGCGUAGACGGCUUUGCAAGUCUGAAGUGAAAGCCCGGGGCUCAACCCCGGAACUGCUUUGGAAACUGUAGAGCUAGAGUGUAGGAGAGGUAAGUGGAAUUCCUAGUGUAGCGGUGAAAUGCGUAGAUAUUAGGAGGAACACCAGUGGCGAAGGCGGCUUACUGGACUGUAACUGACGUUGAGGCUCGAAGGCGUGGGGAGCAAACAGGAUUAGAUACCCUGGUA
rnacentral:rRNA from 1 species